UUCUCUCCGAAAUAGCUUUAGGGCUAGCCUCAAGUGAUGAUUAUUGGAGGUAGAGCACUGUUUGGACGAGGGGCCCCUCUCGGGUUACCGAAUUCAGACAAACUCCGAAUGCCAAUUAAUUUAACUUGGGAGUCAGAACAUGGGUGAUAAGGUCCGUGUUCGAAAGGGAAACAGCCCAGACCACCAGCUAAGGUCCCAAAAUAUAUGUUAAGUGGAAAAGGAUGUGGCGUUGCCCAGACAACUAGGAUGUUGGCUUAGAAGCAGCCAUCAUUUAAAGAGUGCGUAAUAGCUCACUAGUCGAGUGACACUGCGCCGAAAAUGUACCGGGGCUAAACAUAUUACCGAAGCUGUGGAUUGUCCUUUGGACAAUGGUAGGAGAGCGUUCUAAGGGCGUUGAAGCAUGAUCGUAAGGACAUGUGGAGCGCUUAGAAGUGAGAAUGCCGGUGUGAGUAGCGAAAGACGGGUGAGAAUCCCGUCCACCGAUUGACUAAGGUUUCCAGAGGAAGGCUCGUCCGCUCUGGGUUAGUCGGGUCCUAAGCUGAGGCCGACAGGCGUAGGCGAUGGAUAACAGGUUGAUAUUCCUGUACCACCUAUAAUCGUUUUAAUCGAUGGGGGGACGCAGUAGGAUAGGCGAAGCGUGCGAUUGGAUUGCACGUCUAAGCAGUAAGGCUGAGUAUUAGGCAAAUCCGGUACUCGUUAAGGCUGAGCUGUGAUGGGGAGAAGACAUUGUGUCUUCGAGUCGUUGAUUUCACACUGCCGAGAAAAGCCUCUAGAUAGAAAAUAGGUGCCCGUACCGCAAACCGACACAGGUAGUCAAGAUGAGAAUUCUAAGGUGAGCGAGCGAACUCUCGUUAAGGAACUCGGCAAAAUGACCCCGUAACUUCGGGAGAAGGGGUGCUCUUUAGGGUUAACGCCCAGAAGAGCCGCAGUGAAUAGGCCCAAGCGACUGUUUAUCAAAAACACAGGUCUCUGCUAAACCGUAAGGUGAUGUAUAGGGGCUGACGCCUGCCCGGUGCUGGAAGGUUAAGAGGAGUGGUUAGCUUCUGCGAAGCUACGAAUCGAAGCCCCAGUAAACGGCGGCCGUAACUAUAACGGUCCUAAGGUAGCGAAAUUCCUUGUCGGGUAAGUUCCGACCCGCACGAAAGGCGUAACGAUUUGGGCACUGUCUCAACGAGAGACUCGGUGAAAUCAUAGUACCUGUGAAGAUGCAGGUUACCCGCGACAGGACGGAAAGACCCCGUGGAGCUUUACUGUAGCCUGAUAUUGAAAUUCGGCACAGCUUGUACAGGAUAGGUAGGAGCCUUUGAAACGUGAGCGCUAGCUUACGUGGAGGCGCUGGUGGGAUACUACCCUAGCUGUGUUGGCUUUCUAACCCGCACCACUUAUCGUGGUGGGAGACAGUGUCAGGCGGGCAGUUUGACUGGGGCGGUCGCCUCCUAAAAGGUAACGGAGGCGCUCAAAGGUUCCCUCAGAAUGGUUGGAAAUCAUUCAUAGAGUGUAAAGGCAUAAGGGAGCUUGACUGCGAGACCUACA
rnacentral:rRNA from 1 species